rnacentral:lncRNA from 1 species
GAUCCUCAUACGGUGAGAACUGGUAGGAGUUACUAUACUCACCCUAAUAUACAAGUGACUGUCACCAUCAUUUGUAUUGUCUGCACCAGAGCUCUGUGCAAUAUCCCUGACAGGUAUCUUGCUAAGUCUAUGUAUGAUUUUACCAUCUCAUAUUAUUUGUCGCACUAAAAACAUAAAAAAAAACCUAUCAAAUUCUUUAAAAAAAUCAGGAUCACCCAUAAAAACUAUUGAAUUA